CCUACGGGGGGCUGCAGUGAGGAAUAUUGGUCAAUGGACGCAAGUCUGAACCAGCCAUGCCGCGUGCAGGAAGACGGCUCUAUGAGUUGUAAACUGCUUUUGUACGAGGGUAAACGCAGAUACGAGUAUAUGUGUGAAAGUAUCGUACGAAUAAGGAUCGGCUAACUCCGUGCCAGCAGCCGCGGUCAUACGGAGGAAUCAAGCGUUAUCAGGAUUUAGUGGGUGUAACGGGUGCGUAGGCGGUCGGAUAAGUUAGAGGUGAAAUCCCGAGGCUCAACGUCGGAAUUGCCGCUGAGACUGUUCGGCUAGAGAGUAGUUGCGGUAGGCGGAAUGUAUGGUGUAGCGGUGAAAUGCUUAGAGAUCAUACAGAACACCGAGUGCGAAGGCAGCUUACCAAGCUACUUCUGACGUUGAGGCACGAAAGCGUGGGGAGCAAACAGGAUUAGAUACCCCAGUAGUC
rnacentral:rRNA from 1 species